UUUAUCUGUUGGUUAGUAGGUGUUAUUAUAUUAUUGAACCUCUUGAGCCAUACGCUAUUGGGUUAGUCAGACUGAUCAGCAAGUCUCAAUAAGGUGUUGGGAUCAACAAGUCUCAAUAAGGUGUUGGGUUAGUCAGGCUGAUCGGCAAGUCUCAAUAAGGUGUUGGGUUAGUCAGGCUGAUCAACAAGUCUCAAUAAGGUGUUGGGUUAGUCAGGCUGAUCAACAAGUCUCAAUAAGGUGUUGGGUUAGUCAGGCUGAUCAGCAAGUCUCAAGUCUCAAACACCUUAGUAAUAUAUUCUGUCCAUGGACUCAUGCUACUCAUUUUCACUGGGGUUGUGUGUCCCAAAUGGCAACUCAUUCUACAUUUGACCAGGGCCCAUAUGGGGG
ensembl:lncRNA